GACGAACGCUGGCGGCGUGCCUAACACAUGCAAGUCGAACGAAAAGACCCGGAGUUUGCGCCUCUGACGUUUGCGGCGGACGGGAGCGUCACAUGUGUAUCACCUACCUAUCAGACUGGGAUAAUUACGGGAAACCGGCUCUUAUACCGGAUGAUAUAUUGCACCGCGUUGUGCAAUCGUGAGAUUCGGUUUUUGUGUCUGUAAUAGCUGGCUCCGAGCCGCAUUAGCUGGUUGGUAAGGUAACGGCUUACCAAGGCGACGAUGCGUAGCCGACCUGAGCGAGAGGUCGGCCACACUGGAAGUGAGCCAGCGUCCAGACUCCUGCGGGAGGCAGCAGUAGGGAAUCGUCCGCAAUGGGCGAGAGCCUGACGGAGCAACGCGGCGGGAGUGAUGAAGGCGCUCGGAUCGGAAAGCUCUGUUAUUAGUGGAGAACAAAUGUGUAAUUAACUGUGUAGGUCUUGACGGUACCGGGUCAAAAAGCCACGGCUAACUACGUG
rnacentral:rRNA from 1 species